GCACCAGGUUCCUGGUAGGCUGGAAGAGCAGCAGGACCAUGGACAGCUCACCCCUGGUCUCAGUCUUGCCUGCAAAGGCUGCUGAAGAGCCAUGUGCCUGGAUGGCUGGAAGAGCAGCAGGACCAUGGACAGUGUAAAGCUCUGGGCCUCUGCCUUUGGUGGGGAGAUCAAAUCCAUCGCAGCUAAAUACUCAGGUUCCCAGCUUCUGCAGAAGAAAUACAAAGAAUAUGAGAAGGAUGUUUCAAUAGAAGAAAUUGAUGGCCUUCAGCUUGUGAAAAAGCUAGCAAAAAGUAUGGAAGAAAUGUUUCAUAAAAAGUCUGAAGCUGUACGGCGUCUUGUUGAAGCUGCAGAGGAUGCUCACUUGAAACAUGAAUUUGAUGCUGAUUUACAGUAUGAAUACUUCAAUGCUGUUCUCAUAAAUGAACGAGAUGAAGAAGGAAACUUUUUAGAACUGGGGAAGGAGUUCAUUCUAGUGCCAAAUGACCACUUCAAUAAUUUGCCUGUGAACAUCAGCCUGAGUGACGUCCAAGUACCAACCAAUAUGUACAACAAAGAUCCAGCUAUCGUAAAUGGAGUCUUUUGGUCAGAAUCCUUAAACAAGGUGUUUGUCGAUAACUUUGACCGUGACCCUUCUCUCAUAUGGCAGUACUUUGGAAGUGCAAAGGGAUUUUUUAGACAGUAUCCAGGAAUUAAAUGGGAACCAGAUGAGAAUGGAGUUAUUGCAUUUGACUGCAGAAAUCGAAAAUGGUACAUACAGGCAGCUACUUCUCCAAAAGACGUGGUCAUUUUAGUUGAUGUCAGUGGCAGCAUGAAAGGACUCCGUCUGACAAUUGCUAAGCAAACCGUAUCAUCUAUUUUGGAUACCCUUGGAGAUGAUGACUUUUUCAACAUAAUUGCUUAUAAUGAAGAACUUCACUAUGUAGAACCGUGUCUGAAUGGAACAUUAGUACAAGCAGACAGAGCCAACAAAGAGCACUUCAGGGAACACCUCAACAAACUUUUUGCAAAAGGAAUUGGAAUGCUGGAUAUAGCUUUAAAUGAAGCUUUCAACAUUCUCAAUGAUUUCAAUCACACAGGACAAGGGAGUAUUUGCAGUCAAGCCAUAAUGCUGAUCACUGAUGGUGCUGUCGACACGUAUGAUACAAUAUUUGCAAAGUAUAAUUGGCCAGACAGGAAGGUUCGCAUGUUUACCUAUCUGAUCGGAAGAGAAGCUGCUUUUGCUGACAACCUCAAAUGGAUGGCCUGUGCUAACAAAGGGUUUUUUACUCAGAUCUCUACAUUAGCUGACGUGCAGGAGAACGUCAUGGAAUACCUCCAUGUUCUUAGCCGACCAAAGGUUAUUGAUCAAGAGCAUGAUGUGGUAUGGACUGAAGCAUAUAUCGACAGCACUCUUGCUGAUGAUCAGGGAUUGGUUUUGAUGACCACUGUUGCCAUGCCAGUAUUUAGUAAGCAAAAUGAGACUAGAUCCAAAGGGAUUCUUCUGGGAGUAGUUGGCACAGAUGUUCCAGUUAAAGAACUUCUAAAGGCCAUUCCAAAAUAUAAGUUAGGUAUUCAUGGAUAUGCUUUUGCAAUUACAAACAAUGGAUACAUUUUGACACAUCCAGAACUCAGACCAUUGUAUGAAGAAGGAAAAAAGCGAAGAAAACCCAACUACAGCAGUGUUGAUCUUUCUGAGGUUGAGUGGGAAGACAGAGAUGAUGUGCUUCGAAAUGCAAUGGUGAAUCGGAAAACAGGGAAAUUUUCUAUGGAGGUGAAGAAGACAGUGGACAAAGGGAAACGUGUAUUGGUGAUGACAAAUGACUACUAUUAUACAGACAUCAGGGGUACUCCUUUCAGUUUAGGUGUGGCUCUCUCUAGAGGACAUGGCAAAUAUUUCUUCAGAGGGAACGUAACUAUAGAAGAAGGUUUGCAUGAUUUAGAACACCCUGAUGUAUCUUUGGCAGAUGAAUGGUCAUAUUGCAACACUGACGUACAUCCUGAACACCAUCAAAUGGCUCAACUAGAAGCUAUUAAACUCUACCUCACAGGAAAAGAGCCAUUGCUUCAAUGUGAUAAAGAAUUGAUACAAGAAGUUCUGUUUGAUGCAGUGGUGAGUGCACCAAUAGAAGCUUAUUGGACCAGUCUAGCACUAAAUAAAUCAGAAAAUUCUGACAAGGGAGUGGAAGUUGCCUUUCUUGGAACCCGGACAGGUCUAUCUCGUAUCAACCUGUUUGUGGGACCAGAGCAACUUACUAAUCGAGACUUCCUGACAGCUGAAGACAAAGAGAAUAUUUUUAAUGCUGAUCAUUUUCCACUCUGGUACAGAAGAGCCGCCGAGCAGAUACCAGGCAGCUUUGUCUAUUCAAUCCCAUUUAGUACAGAAACAGCAAACAAAAGCAAUGUGGUGACAGCUAGUACUGCCAUUCAACUUUUAGAUGACAGAAAAUCUCCAGUGGUUGCAGCUGUCGGUAUCCAGAUGAAACUUGAAUUUUUCCAGCGGAAGUUUUGGACUGCCAGUAGACAGUGUCCGUCUCUUGAUGGAAGAUGUUCUAUAAGCUGUGAUGAUGAAGCAAUUAACUGCUACCUCAUAGAUAACAAUGGAUUUAUUUUAGUAGCUGAAGACUACAGACAGACUGGGAACUUUUUUGGUGAGAUCGAGGGGGCUGUGAUGAAUAAAUUGCUAACAAUGGGCUCCUUUAAAAGAAUUACACUUUAUGACUACCAGGCCAUGUGUAGAACAAACAAAGAGAGUAGCGACAGUGCCCAUAGCUUACUGGACCCUUAUAAUGCCUUCUUUGCUGCAGUAAAAUGGAUAAUGACUGAACUUGUCGUGUUCUUGGUGGAAUUUAAUUUGUGCAGUUGGUGGCACUCAGAUUUAACAGCAAAAGCACAGCGAUUGAAACAAACCCUAGAGCCUUGUGAUACUGAAUAUCCAGCUUUUGUUUCUGAACGCACUAUAAAGGAGACCACGGGAAACAUUGCUUGUGAUGACUGUUUCAAGUCCUUUGUCAUCCAGCAAAUCCCGAGCAGCAAUCUCUUCAUGGUGGUAGUAGAUAAUGAAUGCAACUGUGAGUCUAUCUUGCCAAUUACCAUGGAACCCAUAGAAAUAAGGGCUGGAGUGCUACACUGAAAGGUAUCUCUUUGUGUUCUGAAAAUAUAAAAAAUAGAUUCUGUAACUAAGUAAAUUGACAACUCUAUUUGUAGUCUAAACAUCAUUUUGUUUUAUUGCCAUACAAGAGUUUGGGGUUGUUUCUUCUCAUAAAUAGGAAUCCGCCAAAAAGAAUCUGCAGUAUAUUUUUAUUGCUGAGUGAUAGACCUUUCAAAGGACCAUUUGGUCAUAUGAAGUGCCGAUGGGAAUAAGAUUGGGAAGAAUAGCAAUAGAAUUAUGUCCCACUUCUUUUGUUGAUUGGUUGGAUUUUGGAGGAGUGGGAGGAGGAAGGGAUGGAUGGAUGAACUUCAUUUCAAAUCCAUUCAAACUUUGAAUAUUUAAAUGCAGUGAUCAUAAGAUCUCUCCUUAACUACUGUGAACAUAAUGAAUCCCUUAAAUGUGAACGUUUAAAAUCUCAGAAGAUUAGAAGACGUCCAGAAUCUUGUCAUGGAUUUCAUCCUGAAGAGAAUGCAAGAGAAUGUGGGGGUGUUCUAGGCCUUAGUGCUAAACCUAC